UACGUAGGUGGCAAGCGUUGUCCGGAAUUAUUGGGCGUAAAGCGCGCGCAGGUGGUUUCUUAAGUCUGAUGUGAAAGCCCACGGCUCAACCGUGGAGGGUCAUUGGAAACUGGGGAACUUGAGUGCAGAAGGAGGAAAGUGGAAUUCCAAGUGUAGCGGUGAAAUGCGUAGAGAUUUGGAAGGAAUCACCAGUGGCGAAGGCGACUUCUGGUCUGUAACUGACACUGAGGCGCGAAAGCGUGGGGAGCGAACGAGG
rnacentral:rRNA from 1 species